CACGUAGGGCGCAAGCGUUGUCCGGAGUUAUUGGGCGUAAAGAGCUCGUAGGCGGUCUGUUGCGUCCGCUGUGAAAACUCGGGGCUUAACCCCGAGCCUGCAGUGGAUACGGGCAGACUAGAGGUAGGUAGGGGAGAAUGGAAUUCCCGGUGUAGCGGUGAAAUGCGCAGAUAUCGGGAGGAACACCGGUGGCGAAGGCGGGUCUCUGGGCCGAUACUGACGCUGAGGAGCGAAAGCGUGGGGAGCGAACAGG
rnacentral:rRNA from 1 species